rnacentral:rRNA from 1 species
UACGUAGGGCCCGAGCGUUGUCCGGAAUCAUUGGGCGUAAAGCGCGUGUCGGCGGCUAUUUAAGUCCUGCGUGAAAUCCUGCGGCUCAACCGCAGACGGUCGUGGGAAACUGGAUGGCUAGAGUGCGGGAGAGGAGAGUGGAAUUCCCGGUGUAGCGGUGAAAUGCGCAGAUAUCGGGAAGAACACCCGUGGCGAAGGCGGCUCUCUGGAACGCAACUGACGCUGAGACGCGAAAGCGUGGGGAGCAAACAGG